rnacentral:rRNA from 1 species
AUUGAACGCUGGCGGCAUGCCUUACACAUGCAAGUCGAACGGUAACAGGUCUUCGGAUGCUGACGAGUGGCGAACGGGUGAGUAAUACAUCGGAACGUGCCCGAGAGUGGGGGAUAACGAAGCGAAAGCUUUGCUAAUACCGCAUACGAUCUCAGGAUGAAAGCAGGGGACCGCAAGGCCUUGCGCUCACGGAGCGGCCGAUGGCAGAUUAGGUAGUUGGUGGGAUAAAAGCUUACCAAGCCGACGAUCUGUAGCUGGUCUGAGAGGACGACCAGCCACACUGGGACUGAAACACGGCCCAGACUCCUACGGGAGGUAGCAGUGGGGAAUUUUGGACAAUGGGCGAAAGCCUGAUCCAGCCAUGCCGCGUGCAGGAUGAAGGCCUUCGGGUUGUAAACUGCUUUUGUACGGAACGAAAAGGCUCUGGUUAAUACCUGGAGUCCAUGACGGUACCGUAAGAAUAAGCACCGGCUAACUACGUGCCAGCCGCCGCGGUAAGAC